rnacentral:rRNA from 1 species
UACGGAGGGUGCAAGCGUUGUUCGGAAUUACUGGGCGUAAAGGGCGCGUAGGCGGCCAGGGAAGUCCGAUGUGAAAGCCCGGGGCUCAACCCCGGAAGGGCAUUGGAAACUCCCUGGCUUGAGUUCGGGAGAGGAGGGCAGAAUUCCCGGUGUAGGGUUGAAAUCCGUAGAUAUCGGGAGGAAAACCGGUGGCGAAGGCGGCCCUCUGGAACGAAACUGACGCUGAGGCGCGAAAGCGUGGGGAGCAAACAGG